UACGUAGGUCGCAAGCGCUGUCCGGAUUUACUGGGCGUAAAGAGCGCGCAGGCGGCUGGUCAAGUCCGAUGUGAAAUCUCCCGGCUCAACUGGGAAACUGCAUCGGAAACUGAUCGGCUUGAAGAUGGGAGAGGGUAGUGGAAUUCCCGGUGUAGUGGUGAAAUGCGUAGAUAUCGGGAGGAACACCAGUGGCGAAGGCGACUACCUGGCCCAUUCUUGACGCUGAGGCGCGAAAGCUAGGGGAGCGAACGGG
rnacentral:rRNA from 1 species